rnacentral:rRNA from 1 species
UACGGAGGAUCCGAGCGUUAUCCGGAUUUAUUGGGUUUAAAGGGUGCGUAGGUGGCGCCGUAAGUCAGGUGUGAAAUUUCGGAGCUUAACUCCGAAACUGCAUUUGAUACUGCGGUGCUUGAGGACUGGAGAGGAGACUGGAAUUUACGGUGUAGCAGUGAAAUGCGUAGAGAUCGUAAGGAAGACCAGUGGCGAAGGCGGGUCUCUGGACAGUUCCUGACACUGAGGCACGAAGGCCAGGGGAGCAAACGGG